rnacentral:lncRNA from 1 species
GAGGAAAGACUUUCCAGAAGCCCAGGCCAAGAAGCUUAAAGCUGUUAAGCAGAGGUUGCCUGUGCUGAAUCCUGGCACUAAGAAGGAUUCCUCGAGGGAACUCCAGGAAAGAUCUGCAAAGCUGCCUGGGAACCCCAGUUUGCUGGCAAAGACAUCCUUGAGUUCAGCCAUGAUGGGGGGGGGGGCGUGCGGGGGAGGGGCGGAUGCAGCCUCUCCAAACAGCAGGGCUUUGCAGCAUCACAGCUGUGCUGGGGCUUGUGAAGGCAUGAAGAACAAAAGAAUGGAGUCCAGGCUCUCACCGCGGCUGAAGAGGACACCCAGUGAGACCAGGAAGAAGACUGCUUUCCCGUUGGGGUCUCUGUGGAAAGGGUCUGAGGUGAUGAUGCCUCGUGGCACGGUGGUAGUCAAGCCCAAGAAGAAGAUCGCCACGCCCACGAAUACUGGAGCAGGGGAGACGUCCAGCAAAGCCCCACAGCAGGGAA